AGUAAUAACUAGAGAACACUCAACAGUUAAAGUACUAUUUACAACAUUCGCGUCCGUGUUGUAAAUAGUACUUUAACUGUUGAGUGUUCUCUAGUUUUGGUUU
rnacentral:miRNA from 1 species